rnacentral:rRNA from 1 species
UACGUAGGGGGCAAGCGUUGUCCGGAUUUAUUGGGCGUAAAGAGCGUGUAGGCGGCCUGUCAGGUCAGCUGUGAAAACUCGAGGCUCAACCUCGAGACGUCGGUUGAAACCAUCUGGCUAGAGUCCGGAAGAGGAGAGUGGAAUUCCCGGUGUAGCGGUGAAAUGCGCAGAUAUCGGGAAGAACACCCGUGGCGAAGGCGGCUCUCUGGGACGGUACUGACGCUGAGGUGCGAAAGCGUGGGGAGCAAACAGG